GGCGGGUGAACAUUAGGCUUACUCCCUGGCUCAGCUCUUCCAGACUCAGAGUGACUUUACAGCGAUCCCAAGGACAGGCAGAAUGAGUCGGGCAAAGUUAGAGCAAUCGGCAUUGCUGAGAUGAAGCAGCAUUCAAAGGGUGCAAUUCGGGAGAGUUUGGUUGUGUCUAGCUACUGCUGCACGUUUAAAGUGUCAUGCAGAUGGCAAGCAGCACUGGUAGUUAAUAGUCUGCAAUUUCUACAUGUUUUGUUCACCUUAAUUUCUCUGGCUUAGAAAAUAAUAUUCUCCAAGCAAUUAAUUCACAGAAUUUUUUUUUAAUCAAACAUGAAGAGAAGCCUGCCUCUGAACAGCACAUAUGCAAUUACCACUCUGCAUAUGAAUUGAUGUUCUUUGUGUGUGUUUUUCUUUUUUCAUUUCUCUCUGGCUUAUAAUUAAAUUUUGAAGACUGGCUAAUAGUUCAGAGAACUGGAAAGUUAAGUCCUGCAUUUACCCACUGAGCAUGCAGGGCACUGGCAAGUGUCUGUGCUCCACAGCAUCAGUGAGCCUCAGCCCUGACCUGAAGGGACCCAGCCAGCAGGGCUGAGGAGGUGGUUUCCCCUUCAUUGAUUCCUCAGAUCUCCGCAGUAAUGACAGGCUCCGAUUUCAGCAUCUAUCCUCUAGGAACUGACCAGGACCCUCUCAAGAUUAUCCAGUGAAGAAGUUGCCAUGAGCGGUCUGUGGCUAAGCUUGCCUUUGUAUGUUUCUUAAAUGGGGGAAAAUCUUACGUGUGUAGACAAGAAAAAUCACUUAAUGAGUGUUCUGCACAUACUUGCACCAGCUCCCUAGGGAUACUGCAUUGUAAUUACAGACCUAAUGCUGCCAUUCUAAGAACAUGCUUACAAUGGGUGAAGGAUCCAAAGUAGCAAUGGUGACACGCAUUUCUGAAGAGCUCAAGCAUCCGUUUGAUUAGAGCAACUGCACCAGCAAUAGCACUUAACAGAACUAACCAAAACAUUUGGUGGUGCAGUGCUGCUGAGCUCAGUGGAUUUACAUCAGGUGUUAGUGUGUCAGCUUGUUCCAUGUGUGUUAUCUGAGGGUAACGUUGGCACUAACACCUGGAAACACCGUACACGUACGGGAUGUUGAGUAAAUUUACAGUGUGCUGCAUGCCUGAGGAACUUAAGAUUCUCAUCUUGACAUUGCAAGAGAUGAAAACUAGUGGGGUAUGUUUAGGGGAAGGCUCAUACAGCUGAGCUUCCUUGAGGAUGUGGUAUGGGAUGAGAACAGUGCUAAAAAGAGCUUUUUGUCUUUUAAUUUGAAGCCACUCUACAGUUUUCUAACAUUAGAAAACUCUAGAGGUAACACAGUUAUUUACCUGUUAGACAAAGAGCCGUGAAGUCUGUGGGAUCUAGGUAAUCAGCUUUGCAGGGUGCCAAUAAUUUGAGGGAAACAUCAUCUAGGACCUGUCCUCAAACAGAGCACCAGUGCAGUGCUUUGCUGACAUGGCAACGGUUAACUCCUUGCUACAAGUAUUGGACGGGACCGAUGAGAGGGGAAAACAUUUAACAGUUUUUGCCUUUUCUGCUCUGAUGCCUGUUGGAAAUUUCACUAACUCAACAACUCCACUUUGAGGCCAAGCUAUGCCAGGCCUGAUUGUGUAUGCAGAGAAAGCAUCGCUUCCCUCACUUGUGUAACCCAGGCAUCUGAGCAGAUCCUUUUCUCAGCAGUGGCUCUUUCUCCCCUCCGUUCACCCAGGCACCAGAAAGUCUGGAAAAGGCAGAGACAAAAGAGGGAAAAGUGAACUCCCUUUGCCCUUCGGUGUAACGGCAAUGCACACAGGGACAAGAGCGAGGCCGUCCCCUGCCGAGGCGCAGCAGCAGAUGAACCACUGCACGCCAACCCUCCGCAGUUAGGCACAGACUGACAGAACAGAGAAACAUAUUGCUUUCUGAAACUCAUUUUGAGUUCAGAUGUGCAAAUUCCUGUUCAGAGAGGUGGCCAGCAAGCACGUGGUCCCACCCCUGGGAUGCUGUGGGAACAGACAGCACAGGACAGCGAGGAGCAGAGAGGUGGUGGUGGUGCUAGAACUGGGGUGAUGCUACCACAGCAGGGAGAGUGCUACAAUUCACAGAGCUGUUCUUCAGCCCCAGCGCUGCCUUCCCUACACUCACCCCUUCUGUCAGCAGAGGAGGACCUCUGAAGCACCUCCAGUUGGCUGGGAGGUGAGAGAGGGGCUGCCGGAAGGCUUAAUGGAGGCAUUUCUUGAUUUAGUGAGAGAAGAUGUCAGAGAAGAGAUGUUGUUGAACGCGGGGGAGGGAAUUGCUCAGAUUCAGUCAAGGAGAAGGCUGGUAAGGUAGAAAGCAAAGAGCAACAAGUAUCAACUCUCUGUCCAUCUCUUUGCCAGUGAGCUGCACAAAGCAGCUUCACCAAAGAGCUCUGGCUGCGGCGGUGCCUCUGAACGCAGCCAGGAAGGUCAGGCACAGAAGCAGCAGUGCUCACUGCAGACAGCUGGCUUUGACCCUGAUUCCUGCUUCAUGAGGAGGUGCAGCACCAACAGAAUUGCUGUGCAAUUCCUUUCCGCUUUGGGGGUAUAGCGUAUUGCUAAAAGGUGGCAGCAUUUCGUAGAUCAGGGCCUGACCUGAUCCACGCUUCCCAGGGUUUCCUCCUCCUGACAGUGCUGCGAGGCAACAUGCAGGCUGGCUUCCUCACCACAUGAUGUCUGGUUCACUUUGACACAAAGCACGGGCACAUGCCCAGCACCCUUAAGGCCUUGGGAGGUAACACUCGCACAGGUGCCCCAGGGAAACGCUUCUCCAAAGUGGCUGCUUGGAGAGCCUGUUCCACAGAAGUUUCGUUCAUUCAUGCUUUAGGCUUCUGCUUAAAACCAACUUAAAUGCAGAUUCGCGACUUUGGAAGGCCGGGAAGGCAGCCUGGACACACGUGGCAGAAGGGUACCUCUGACUGGAGAGCAUGAACAGGUAGCUUUUGUGUCAGACCUGCUGCUGAGCAAGGUGGCACGGAGAUGGGGACAGCCCAGGUCAUUCACACCCCAGCCGUGCACAGAGCACACUCGGUGGGCUGCAUGCAGAGGGAGAGAAGCUGUAGCCUGGACGUAGAGGAGUGUGUGAGCUCAGCAGGGGAGCCUACCCUUUUCCACAUUGCCAGGGGAGGGUUACACCUUGCGGACCUUCCCCUAACAGCUGACAGCUGGCUGUCCUCACACAGCAAGGCAGAUGCUUCCUAGGGUGUCAGAUUAGCACGCAGGUGUGUAACGUUUGCACUGCGCCUGUGCAAAAUGCAGCAUAGGCACAGGCAAGCUGAAAUGAUGGAGAAGUGGUCCUUCUGGGGCUUUCUCCCCGUGUGCAGCUUGGAGUAAGGAGGCUGUGCAGGGAGGCACACAAGCCAGGGUAAUGGUCCUGGCAGGGCACAUACUGCUGGUGGGCUGCGGGCUGAGCAUCCCUGAUCCAAGAGAACAAUGCCCUGUCUGCGUGGUAAAAGAUUUGCAGCCCAUAGACUAAGUUUUUGUAUAUACCGCAGACAUAAGCACAAAUGGUACACGGCAGUUAUCCAGGUUGUUACUAGCUGGCUGACUUCUAGGAGCAUUUGAGGUGGGAAGUGGAGGCAGACAGAGAGAGCGAUGCAGGAGAGAACAGAAUUGUGCUGAAGAGAGCAGCAGAGACAGGAGGUGGGAGAAGCAGCUGAGCACUCCCUUCGAGUCGCUGCCACUGGCAGAAUGGAAAAGAGGAGAGAAUGCACACAGGUCACCUGGGUGAAAUUUUAUCAGAUGAUAAAAACUAAGAGCAAAAAAUCUGAUGUGGCAUGACGAUGUAAGGAAAGGAAGAGGGGAGGAGAUGAGGUAGUGGUGUACACAGAACAAACAGAAUGAAGCUGAGUGUGUGCACAGCACAGCACAGCUCCUUCAGCUCCACAGUGGUGUCAGGGGAACAGGACCUGAAGAGCCUGGCUAUCGCUGUGCUUACAGGCACGACCCAGUUAGGAGGAGGAGUAGGCAGAGGGGCAGGUAGCAAUGUGUGUUGGUGACUCACGUGGCAGGUAGCAGCCAGUAAAUACCAAAGUGGGCGGUAGGAAGGUGGUCACACUGCACACUUACUCAGGAGCAUCUGACCCAUUUUGGAUUUUUACCGUCUUAGUAUAUUCUUCUGCAACCCCAGCACAGGUUUCUGAUUAAAGAGAGCAUUUCCAACACCUCAAUAAAUAGCCCCUCAUAACAACACACCUGAACAAUAGAAGUACCAAAAGAGCUGAAAAUGUGAGUGGGGGAAUUGCUACACGCAGAGUUAUGACUUAGAAAAACCAGCACUCUUCAGCUGCCGCUCGUUAGAGAGACUUCACACAGUAAAUAAGAACUGAACCCUCCUGAGGCCUGAUUCAACCCCGAUUUUAUUCAAAGACCAUACUUUCUUUGACUUAAAAUCUGAAUUGGACCCAAAGCCAGUACAUUGCAUCCUGCUAAAGGAGAACAAAUAAAUUGGCAGAACUUUCGCUCAGCUGUUAGAGCAAGCAAAGGGCACUGCAGCAUGGUACAGAAGCAAGGUGGACAGAGAGGGGAACAAAACUUCAGCCAACACACUUAAAAUGAGUCACUUCCUAAUGUAAAAUGAAUCUUUUUCUUUAAGGAAAGAAGAAUCAUUAUGAAAAAGAAUAGAUUCAUUACAGUGCUCCUGCACAGAAACGGUGACGGCAAGGCGUGCAGAUGGAAGCUGUUUAGCUUGGUCAGUAUGUCUGGAAACUGUGUCCACUUAACGCCUUGCAGCCUGAAAGGAAGUGUGUGGCAGAGCCCAUGCUGAUGCAGAAGAGGACUUGAUAUCGCAUCUCUGAACACCACUACAAAGUACAACUGCUAACUUCAGUUUUGUUCUGCCACAUUAGUGGGAAACAACGCAGUCGGGGCUGUGAUGAUAACGAGGUGCGAUACUGGGGAGGCUCAGUAGACUAUGAAGUGCACAACCUUGUAUGGCAGGCUGCAAAAAUGGAUUGGGAAGGAAAAUCUCCGGAGGAGAUUUUUCCUUGGUAUGACAACGAUCCAAAAGAGAGAGCACAGCCAGUUUUCACUGUAGGUGGGUAAUGCGGAGCCCCCAGUUGUUAAGAAGUCAAGCCAUUCAAAAGCACUAGGCAGCCUAAUACCCCGCUGUUCUUCAUCCACCCCAUUACUUAGUUCUCUCCUCCUCCUCUUUCUGCUCCCCUCCAUAAAAUUGGGGUGAAUCAGCAGACACAAGCCAGCAGGAGAAAGCCUUCAUCCACACACAUCAAAACAAUUUACUGUAGGCAGACAAACAAAACCGAGAUUUCCUGACCUGAUGCUCUCUCUGCAUUCACAGGCCAAGCGCAAAACAAUCCCUAGGCACGAAGGCUUUCACAUCCUGUUUCAGGUGGUCUUUUUGAGACUUUAAUCUCUUUUCCUAUUAACUUUGAGACACAAAGAAGAGAAACAAAGCCAAAAUUAUUUCCUUGAGCACAGGAGACCUCACACACAGUUUUCAUUCUUCACAGUAAAGAUACGUAUUUAUGUUAAGAUCUUAAACUCCAAAAUGCAGAGCACUGUCUGUGCCAUUCAGGGGUGACUGGAUAGGAGAACGUUGUAUUGUGUUGCUUCUCAGGACACCAGUAUGGUCAUGCAGAGGGAAGAAAGCAGGAGCAGCUAAGGAGGACCAUGAUUAGCAGCGUAGAAGAAGACCAAGAGGAGUUUUAUCCCUUUAACCACGGAAGAGGAGAUAAGCCUGCCUAUUAACACACUGAACAGAUUUUUUUUUCAUUGAAAUUCUUUUGUAUCAUCUGAAACAGAGAGCCCCUGGACACUUUUCUAACUUUUCAAUCAUCAGGUACAUUGACUGCACGGGUAGGUGCACUGAAGGUUGCUCUUGGUUUCGAGACAAAUUGCCUGUCAGUCAGCUCCUUCCAGCUAGGACGUUUCACAAAGAGUUGUAUAUUCCAGAUGUGGUUUGUUCAAUGUCCAGACUGGCAUGCUAAAGAGCAAUGUAUCUAAGUGUGGAUGCAGUACGUGCACAGUGGGGGAAAUAAAGCCAAAUUGUGAUGGUUUUACAUAGUCUGUAACUUCCUGCUUAUUGUGUAAAGUUGGCAUUGUCUCUGAGAAAGCUCAGCCAUGGGGCUUGUGAGCAUGAACUCCUGUAGUAUUAGCUAAUGCUUUAGGAAGACAUGAAGGCUUUGUUUUUAGCAAAACCGCAGUCAAAGGUAAAAUCCUCUUAAUUAUUCAUGUUCAGUAAAGAAUUCAUGAUAUUGCCCUUAUGAAAUCACCAGGUCCCGCUUCCAUCCUAGUCAUCCUAUCGAAUACCUUUGGCACUUAACUCAGUGCUCUGAUGUUUGAUUUCAAGUGGGUAGAAUGAUUUUGUUAUCCUCAAGCUCAAGUUACCCAGCUUGAGACCUCUAAAACUUUGCCGACAGCCCACAUUCAGAAGCACAGACACCUGCCAAGUGAGACAUCCGAAUUGCCUUGAAAUUCUGUCUGUCCAGCUAUGUCACAUGAAUAACCAAAUCCCUUUUACGAGUUCUGCAUUAUUUUGCAGAUUGCUUUUUCUCUUCCCAGCACAGAUUUCCAUUAAAAAGCUUUACUGCCCUAGUAGCAUGGUGCGAGGCUAGGCGUUGAGAUGAAAAUUCUAGACAUUUCCAUCCUUGUGUAGGUGCCUCCAAGGAAGGCUUUGUGUGGGGAACAUUGAGGUCAUUAGAGGCUUUCUGCACCGUAGGCCCAGCUGAGGAAAGGGCAUAUCCUUGCCUAUCCUGUCUCACUAUUGAUCCAACAUCCUUAAAAACGUACAGCAACUUAACUCCUGCAAGGCUUGUUUCUAUUUGCAUUUCCAUCGGUGGUUUUGGAAUGCAUGAAACGCCAGUUAUUAGAAAUAUACAAAUAUACUUUGUGGUGUGUCCAUGAGGUGUUCUAGAUUUAUCACUACAGCUCUGAAAACAAAAAAAACACCUUAUUAGUACCACCCUCAAUACUUUUUCUGGAACCAUACAGCUGUGUCACUGGGGUCAGCUGUAGGCAAAGGGGAAGGGGAAAAUAUUCACAAAAAUUGCCUUUGAGAGAUCCUACCUGCUUGGGAAUGGCUUAUGGUGCUGCUCUGGAGAUUGCAGCAGCAGACCGUGGAAUGAAAGUCAUGUUCUGGCCCAAACACAGUCGCACAAAGUAGAUAGUCGCACAUAGAUGAAGGGGGUUAAGAGAACAAGAGGACAACUAGAUCCCUCUGACAUGAAAGCACAUUUCCCCACCAGUCCGUGGCUGCUGGGCCUCCAUGCAUUCUUAGUGCAGUCUUCCUUCUGGCUGUUUUCAUAUUGCAAAAACGUUUCUAUUUUAUGAACACUAGGAGCAAAUGCCUACUCCAACUGUCUAAGAAAACCGAAAGCAAUGCAAUGUAAUUACACCUGUCUGCCAGACAAGUUACUGCACUUGACAAGCCUGAGUGGUUGGCAAGGCUCAAAAUGAAUACCGGCCAUUGGCGUCGCCGCACCAUUACAGCCUCUGCGCCCUUGAAAAUUGGAGGAAGAGCUUUUGGCUUGGUUAAAAUCUUUCUCUGGCCUCAAUGACCCAAUUACAGCCAGCGCCAGCCAUUGAGAAGAGUGCCCCAUUCAGUGUUCUUUCCCAAAGGUGCCUCAGUUAACAAAUGCUGUCACUGAGAAAAAACGACCCUGGAGGCCAGAUCUCACUGUCAGAGUCUGUCUGGUAGCACCAAUUCAUUAAUUCACCUGUGACUUGCAAGGGCAAGGCUAUGCUGCAUCUUCUCUGGCAGCUGCUAAGUCUCCAGGUUAAAGGUUUCACUUCUGCCCUCCAACCUGGCAUGGUCUGUCCACCAUUUCUAAGUGCAAAUCACACGAGAGCCUUUCAAGAAGGAGUGAAACCUUCUCAAGUUGCAAUCCUGCAUACACUCAUGUCGUAGCUUUUGUGCUGCUUAUUUUUUUGGCUUGGAUCCUUCCCCAUCCCCUGGGAGAUGAUGCACGCACAGGCAGUACAGGUUGAUGGCUCUUCCCUCCCAGGGGUGAGUGGGUGCAUGCAUCUCAGCAGCGCUCAGACAACUGAACAACAAAUAAAUCAAUUCAUUUUAAAAUCAGUCCUCACAGGGACUCUCAGAGAAGGAAAAACUUGCACUAAUUAUAUUCUAUAAAGUAUCUCUUUACACUUGGCAACUGUUUAAGAAAGGAUCUCAGGAUAUGAUUAUAAAGGAGAAGAACAAAAUACAUUAGCCAUGAGCAGGCAUCGCUCGAAAGGUUGUUCCCAGCUGCUGAAGUGCUGAGUCCGACCCAUACCAUCUGCAAGAGAAAAAUGUGGAACUGCCUCAUCCUCUUUCAUGACAGAUGAGAUGCAGGGGUUGUUUUAAAAAGAACAUCUAACCUGCUAUAGCCAGCAUCCCUAAUAAACGGAUAUAUACAUUGCCAUGGCAUUUGUUUUUUAAAAUCAUUCCUGCCAUGUAGCCUGUCAGAAAUCACCUGUUGUCAUCAGUGUCUCCAGAGAGCUCCCACACAAAGUAAAGGCUAAAUGCCACUCACAUCUCAGAUCUGGUAACCACUGGCAAACGACUGUGCUAGUAACUGUGGUCAAAUCAGCCUGCUGAACACAGUACAUGUUUACAUUUUAAUAUUGCCUCCUAGCCAAGGGGAAAUCAUCUAUUCCCACCAAGCCAAAACAUCCCUUUUUUCAGCAUACAUUUUUAGUACGUUGAAGGUAAAGUCUCACAGUUUCAAACUAUGAAAGAGAUGUGACUAACAUAUUUUUCCAUAGCAAUUAAAAUUUCAUGUUCAUAAACAGCCUACGUGCCAGUCAGGUGACUAAUGCAUGGCUGGUAGUUUCAUACAUUGCACAAUGAUUCGUAGGGAUCCUAGCAACAACUGUAUUUGGUAAAAGGUGUCCAUUAUAUCCAGUGACCUAAUGUUUAUCGCGCUCAGUAAGCAACCCUCAUGGCUACUCCAUUUAGGCAGUUUAUGACACUGAGCCACUGAACCACACAGUGGGCCUUAUUCACAGCCCAGCAGCACUUCCACUUGUGUUGUAAAGUCUAUUUCACCGCACAGCCUGCCGCGUACAUGCAAAAUGCUCUCAAUAAAAGAAACAAACCCAAGAAAUAUGCCUAUUUCUUCUUUAGACAGAUAAAACUGCUCUUGCUUAAGCUCACACAGUGAUAAUGGAAGGAGUUGUGUGAAUCCCCCCCAAAAGCCAUGGUCAGACACUAUUAGAGCUAUGACUGUAAUCCACGAAACAAGGAGCUGGGGAAAUAGCAAUGCCUUUAGGUCGCAGGCACCACUUUGAGGCAGCACAGAAGGCUGUUCAGGCGCUGUAGGAGGCUCAGUGAGGCAGCAUGGCUUUGGUAUGGGAACCCAAACCCACACAAGAGCCAAGGUUACUGCUAAAGGACGAUCUCUGAUACACAGGUUGCCAUGUUCUGAGCAGCACAGACUGAUGGAGUUUGGGUGUCGGAGACCUUCAGAAGCUGUCUUUCAAAGGCAAUAGAUCCUCGCAAUCAAAGGGGAAGAACCAAGACUCCACCGUUUCUUACAGUUGCUUCUCAUCAUUUGCUAGUGACAUCUCUUCAGGCUCCAGCCAGCAAGUCCCUAAUCAAGCCCCAGUUCUCAACGAAAUAUUUAUAAAUUCGAAAUACUGCACUGCAGCAAGCGACGCUGGCAUAAAUUCCCAUCUGUCAUCCCCUAAUCAACUCCCAGCACAAUGAUCAAUCUUUUUCAAUUUCACAUUAUCUCAACUACUUAAUACCCAGAAAAAACACUGCAAGAAAUGGAUACUGCCAUCCAGGACAAUUCAGGGGCACUGACCUAUCCAGCAGCUGUAAGCUGCGUGCAUUGUAUAGCACAGAGAUAUUUUUAUAUCUCCAUUAUCAUCCCAGUCUUCACCCCGAUUACAAUAUUAGAACAAGAAUUAGGGUAAAUAUGGUCAAAAUGUGGUCUCUGUCUUAAAUGCUUCUCUCACCCUUCAUCCGCAGUAGGUCACCUUUGCCCACAGGAGAACUCUCAGGGCACUGAGUAGGCAGCCAGGAGUCACGAAGGUGAUGGCGCAAGGGCAUGGUUGUUCACAUGGAACAGCGUUCCCUCCCAUUUCCCAUUUUAUUGAGCAUUAGGCAGCAUUUGAGGACACACCAAGGACCAACUUAACACCGACUAGGAAAUAGGUGAAGGACCAAAUAAGACUUAUCCAUAGUUCCUCCUUGCUUUCCCUACACAGCCUGCAGCAGGAGAAAUACUCCCCAACCCUGUGCUAUGACACUGCCACACCGGCAGCUUUCUGCUGCACCCCACUAUAUAUCUGCUUUCACUAAGUCACUGACGUUACUAUAUUUCAUAUCAUCCAGCCAGAAAAAGCACUAAUGUGAUCCCAGGGAAAGCAUUUCCAAUACAAGAUAUUGUAACCCUUGCAGAAAAAUUGGACAGAGCUUGCAUGUACUUUUGUCAGAUCAAUUUUCUAAUCCGGCUCACCGAGCAAAGCUUGCUGGCGUUAGACGGAUAACUUGCAUUUCAGUACAUGCUGUUACUGCCAUUGCUGGGAACCCUGAGGAGGGCCGGGGAGAGGGGACAGGAAAGGCCUGCUCAUAAAUCUGCUCCUAUAGGAAAAAAA